GAAACCAAGAGUAAACAGGGUAAAUGGUAUAUCUUUACAGUACAUGAAAUAUGUUCGCUCAAACGCAAUUGAGUGCUGGUUAGGUAAUCCUCCAUGUUUUUACUCGGUUUAUUUCGUAAGCUAUGCUUUGCAACAAAUAUAAAUACCUUCAUAACAUUUAAAUAAAAUGUUGUGUUCAGCUUUGAAACAGUAAAAUGGUUGAGGGGUUUAUUAUUUAGCUGAAUGCACAUAAGAGCUGGCACACUCGUGCCUAGUUCGCUUGCCAACAAUGUUAUCUUACUGUAAAAUAUGUCAUAUUACGGUUACAUGCACACAAUAAUGCGAUUAUUGUGGAUAGUCAUUAAUAUAAUAGUUCGAUUAAAAUGUUUAUAUGCUUUGCAAGAAUAACGAUCUCCCUAAUAAUCGUGUUUACAUGGACACGUCGGAAAUCAGGUUACCUGAUGGCACUGAUAAAUGCAGAUAAUCGCCAAUCAAAAUUCAAGUCUAACUACCAAUUGGAUUUCACGAAAUUGUGGCGAAAAGGGGGUAAAAGUAUAAUAAAAUAUAUAUUCUACCACCGCGACCACGUUAUUUUUGGGAAGCAUUUGAUUCUAAAUUCGGACAUAUAAAGUUUGUAUGUGAAAACUACUUCUGAAGCCGAAACCACAGAGAGACGCCGUCAACAUUUGCUUGCGAGAUUAGAGUGCGUCAAUUCACAUACACAGUGUAGCAUAUGCCAAUUUAAUUGUCAACCAGAGUUGUAUAUGUUAUGUUCGCUAUGUAGCCCUUAUGAAUUAUUGCUGUGUUCCUUUUGAGUAACCUUAUAUGUCCUACAGGAGCCUCCGUACGUGCCAGCUUUAAACAGUUAUGUUAGCUCACGAAUGUGAGGGGAGUUUUUGCUAAUACACCCGAGCAGUUUAUAAAGAAUUUAGCUAGUCUUAUUCUUUCUACAUACUAGUAUUCUCUCUUGAAAUCAGAGUUCCUCAAGUUUCCUAGCCCAAGCUAUAUGGCUGUGAUCGAAAUCAACACAGGGGCCUCCUCUUUGCUGAGCUGGGAUGUUCAUUGCUAUCCUUAUCAACAAGUUUAUAGGACCAGCUCUUUCCAUCGAAGAGGGUCACACCCUGAUCCUGCUGACCUAGAGUUCCAGGCAGGGGAGAACUCUCACUUUGAGAGCGUCUAUGAGCACGGCAAUAGUCGGCGCGAGACCGACGAGCAUAUGCUUUCCCCCCUCUCCUCCUAAGGGUGAGGCUGAAGGCUCUAUUCCCGUUCCAUACCGACUAGCUCAUGUCAGCUCCAGCAGCAACCAGCAGGUUCAGGAAGAACAGCCAGAGCCUGAAGCGCCAGAGCCUAGUGGGGAGUCUUUCCAGGGUGGAGAAGACCCUUUACUGCACCAUUGGGGGCCCUGGCUCUAACAAGAUUCCUUGGCAUGAGCAGAACAACCAGGCUAAGGGUAGUGUCUGGUUGGAGUCUUCCCAGGGUGUAUUUGUCUGGGUACCAUCAGUAUUGUCACUACAUGGCUACUAGCAGCUCUGUAUUAACCUGGCUCCUGAUAUCAUUUGGUUAUAGUGCUCUACAACUUUGAAUAAAUUACUUUGUUUUUU